AGGAUAUUAGUUAAAAAAUAACAUUAAAAUUGCUUUUUAAAAUUAAAUAAUUUAUAUCUUU
rnacentral:tRNA from 1 species